AUUGAACGCUGGCGGCAUGCUUUACACAUGCAAGUCGAACGGCAGCGCGGGCUUCGGCCUGGCGGCGAGUGGCGAACGGGUGAGUAAUGCAUCGGAACGUGCCCAGUAGUGGGGGAUAGCCCGGCGAAAGCCGGAUUAAUACCGCAUACGACCUGAGGGUGAAAGCGGGGGACCGAAAGGCCUCGCGCUAUUGGAGCGGCCGAUGUCGGAUUAGCUAGUUGGUGGGGUAAAGGCUUACCAAGGCGACGAUCCGUAGCUGGUCUGAGAGGACGACCAGCCACACUGGGACUGAGACACGGCCCAGACUCCUACGGGAGGCAGCAGUGGGGAAUUUUGGACAAAGGGGGCAACCCUGAUCCAGCCAUGCCGCGUGCGGGAAGAAGGCCUUCGGGUUGUAAACCGCUUUUGUUCGGGAAGAAAUCCUCUGGGCUAAUACCCCGGGGGGAUGACGGUACCGGAAGAAUAAGCUCCGGCUAACUACGUG
rnacentral:rRNA from 1 species